rnacentral:rRNA from 1 species
GAAGAAGCUUGCUUCUUUGCUGACGAGUGGCGGACGGGUGAGUAAUGUCUGGGAAACUGCCUGAUGGAGGGGGAUAACUACUGGAAACGGUAGCUAAUACCGCAUAACGUCGCAAGACCAAAGAGGGGGACCUUCGGGCCUCUUGCCAUCGGAUGUGCCCAGAUGGGAUUAGCUAGUAGGUGGGGUAACGGCUCACCUAGGCGACGAUCCCUAGCUGGUCUGAGAGGAUGACCAGCCACACUGGAACUGAGACACGGUCCAGACUCCUACGGGAGGCAGCAGUGGGGAAUAUUGCACAAUGGGCGCAAGCCUGAUGCAGCCAUGCCGCGUGUAUGAAGAAGGCCUUCGGGUUGUAAAGUACUUUCAGCGGGGAGGAA